rnacentral:rRNA from 1 species
UACGGAGGGUGCAAGCGUUGUCCGGAAUCACUGGGCGUAAAGGGCGCGUAGGCGGCUCAUGAAGGCUGUGGUGAAAGUCCGGGCUCAACCUCGGAUCGGCCGUGGCGACUCGUGGGCUGGAGCACUGUAGAGGCGGGUGGAAUUCCGGGUGUAGCGGUGGAAUGCGUAGAUAUCGGAAGGAACACCUGUGGCGAAAGCGGCUCACUGGACCAUUACUGACGCUGAUGCACGAAGCUGGGGAGCAACAGG